CACGCUGAGGCUGCCGGCCUCCCUCCUCCGCCCUGCCCGGGCUUGUGCUCCUCUUUCCCCUGUGCUGAGCCACCGGGUCGCCUCCGCUAGGCAGCGGUGUAUCCACCUCGGCUCCCGUAGGCUCUCACCUGAGGCAUGCGGAUGUAGCAGAAGGGGAGGCCAUCCCCGCGGAACCACCAAAGGCGUGAAGGAGCCCCAGCACUUUCAGUCACUGUCAGCUCCACGCCUGAGAAAGCACAGGAGCAGCCCAAUGGCUGGGAUCACGUUUUGCUUCUUCAGCAUGAUGCCUGUGUACCAAAGCAGCAAGUCUCACAGCUGCAAGGACAGUUCCCAUCAGAGCCCAGCCUACAGGGGUGAGAAGACUAAAGUUAUGAUGCGGUUGCUGCAAAAUGAACUAUGUUCAAUGUCUGUGGGACUAGGAAAAGCAUCAAUGGACUCAAGAAACAGCAAGGAAGAUUUUUUUUUUUAAGAUGCAAGGUAAGUUCUGACAGUCUGAAAAGUUUAUAUAAUGAAGUAUAUGGCAUAGAGAAGUUACGGGAUCUUCACCAUAAAGUGCUGUAAAAAACAAUUAUAUGAAAAACAGUUGGGAAUAGUUCAGUUGGAGCUGAGACUAUCUUAGGGUGAGGGGUAAACCAGCUGAUUUUCCCAGGUCCCUUCUAACAGUAUUCCACUGACUCCUACAGCAAACCUCUGUAGCCAGGAGCCUACACCACAGGCUUGGGAGCGGACGUAACACUGAGAAGGCUUUGACAGGUUCUUGCACUUCUGACCAGAACAAAGCCCAGCACUCCCACACAUCUACUCAAGAUUGUAUCUUGCUGUCUGAGGCAUCAGUAUGAUGAAGAUAAAAUGUUUUUCUGUUUGCUGCUACUGCCAUAGCAAUCAGCAAAUUGAUUCUAGCAGAAUGCAUGUUCCCCUGGAGUUACAUUUUACGCUAUCAAGUUUUAUGUGUAGUAUUGUGUUCUCUUCCCUUCGUCAUGGUUUGAGCCAUCCAGAGUUACAUGCAAGGGAGAUUCACACACACACACCACCCACCCAUUUGAAACAACAAAUUUAAUACUCUGGCUUCUCAGGUGCAACCAGCUUCUGUGUAGUUUCAUAAAAGGCUCACUUAACUAUUACUCUACAUUGAAUGUAAAGCUCAUUUUUCCUUCUAAAAAUUUGUAUUCUGCAACAACAUUUUCACUAUUUCCAUCAAGUGGCAUAAAAGGUAUUAGUAAAUUAAAAUACAUUUUUAAAAAGGAGGUAUAUGUGGCCAGGUAAAAUAAAAUACUGUUUUCUUGGAGCAGUACAACUCAUUGACAAAAAAAAAAAAAUCUGUAUGUUGGAAGUGCCGAGUAUCUUGUGAAGCCUUUGAAGACAUAAAAAUAGAGGACUUCACAAGUUGAGUAACUAAGAAGCUGGCUGUAGACAAAAAUACUUUGGAAAUUAAUAAGAGUAAUUACCAAUUUCAUUAAAUGUCAGUUCUGGCUCAGUUUUAAACCCUAGCUUGCCUCAGUUUUGCAAAAGGUUUUUAUAGAUUACAGCACUACCCACUCUACAGACUGUAAGCCCUAGAAAAAGCAGGUGUAAAAAGUAAAUCGCAGUAUAAGGUUGUUGACAAAUGAAUUUGUAAAAAGAACAGUUUACACCAGAAAGAUCAAAGUCAGAGCCUUUAUUAAAUGUUCCUUCUUUAAACAGAC